rnacentral:rRNA from 1 species
GACAGAGGCCCCAAGCGUUAGGCGGAAUCACUGGGCUUAAAGCGUGUGUAGGCGGACGCCUAAGUGUCUUGUGAAAUCCCACGGCUCACCCGUGGAACUGCUGGGCAUACUGGGCGUCUUGGGCCAACUAGGGGCAGCCGGAACAAGCGGUGGAGCGGUGAAAUGCGUAGAUAUCGAGAGGAACACCAGUGGCGAAGGCGAGUCCCUGGACAACACCUGACACUGAGGCACGAAAGCUAGGGGAGCAAACAGG